GACGAACGCUGGCGGCGUGCUUAACACAUGCAAGUCGAGCGGUAAGGCCCUUUCGGGGGUACACGAGCGGCGAACGGGUGAGUAACACGUGGGUGACCUGCCCUCAGCUCUGGGGUAAGCCUGGGAAACCGGGUCUAAGUACCGGAUAUGAACUCCGAUGACGCAUGUUGUGGGGUGGAAAGCCUUGUGCGGCUGAGGAUGGGCCCGCGGCCUAUCAGCUUGUUGGUGGGGUGAUGGCCUACCAAGGCGACGACGGGUAGCCGGCCUGAGA
rnacentral:rRNA from 1 species